rnacentral:lncRNA from 1 species
CGUACUGAAAAUAUCAGUUAAGUCUAGCUGUUCUAUUUUAUCACCUAGGAUCUCUGUUGUCAGAUUGAUUUGCUGUCUAGAAGUUCUGUCUGUUAUUUGAGUGGGGUAUUGAAAUUUCCUACUGUUAUUUUGUAUAUUUUGAAUAACAGUCUUUUAUCAGAUGUCUUUUACCCUAUUGACUUUUUGUUUUGUUUCAAAAUUUGCCUUGUGUGCUGUCAAUAUUUAAAUGGAAAUUUCUUUCAGAAAAAGAGAUAAUCUUUAAGAGACACAUUACAUACUUUGAUUAUCUACUAAGCUGGGUGAGAAUGAAGACAUCCAUUAUAAGCAAUGUGACUAAAUGGGGAAGUAACAUUUUCUAGUUCAGUGACAAUAUAUUCUGAUGAAGUGUACCAGCACUUCUGAGACCAGCAAAGUUAAUGAUCCUCCUUGUGGGCAUAAUACAAACUUGCCAGAUGGCAGGGCUACAGCAAAUAUUACAGAAGAGAAAUUAUGAAAAUGAUAAGAACAUUUUUCCUUUCUUAAGCCAUAACUGUAUCUUAAAGAAUCUAAGGACCAACAUAUAAUUGGAUUAAUAUUUAGAUUAUUAGUGGGAAUGAGUUGUUGUUUGUUAAUGAUAGAAUAUGGGGCAGGAAGAGUUUUUUUCUUAACUUAGCUAUGCAUCCAAAUUUCUUAACUAAGGCGAACAAAACCAUUUCGUGUAACUUUUUUAUUUUUGCACAAGAGCCUUUUUUUUAUGAACCCCAUGUGUUUAUAGUUUGACAUUUUGUAACAGUGAUACAUAAUGACAAAGUAAAUGUUCCAAAAGAAUUAGUGUUUUAUUAGUUACAUGAAAUCUACAGACAUGUAGAAGAAGCAGACAAUACUUGUUUGACCUGGUAACACAGAAUCACAGAUCCAUUGCAAUCAUCUGCCUUUCCAGAGCUGGCAUAUGCAUACUCAAGGUUAAACAUGUACAAAGACAGUUUUAAGAGAAAAUUUUUUGAACUUCAAUAUGUACUUAUUUUUUAAAAUCAUCCUGUUUAGGAGGUACAGUAGUUGUCAGAUUGUUUUCUUUCUGCAAAUGCCCUUGUCCUACUUUAUAAAAGGAAGACAUUCUUCAAAUCCCUCCCUAGUUUUACUAUGACACACACACACACGGAAAAGGAACAAUUUACAAUUUGAAAAGUUGAUAAAGUGAAGAAUGUUAAUUAGUAAUAUUUUUUUUUUGUUAUAGAUAGUAGGAUAAGCAAUAAAGCUUAUGAAAAAAAAUUCAUACAGGUACUAGAAUCAAAGCAUGCUUAAGGAGGAAAGGAAAAUUGUAAAAUUUCUGACUGGUUUAAAAAGAAUUUAUUCAUGGUGUAUUUUUGAAAUGGAUGGUAGGUAUUCAAGUAUAUAACUUAAACCUAUUCAAACCCAUCCUGAAACUAUAGAUAGAAAUACUUAUUGAGCAAAUACAUGCUGAGAGAUGUGGAAGGGGCAGUGUUAGUUCUUAACUAUUGACUUUUGUUGCUCUUACAAGUGGUAAUGCUGCCCUGGCCUUGGGCUCUGCAAGCUGGGCUUCCGGCUACUUAUGGACGUAAUCAAGAGCCUGUUACACACAGCACAAUCCAUGGCAUAUUUCUAAUUGCAAUCAUCUUACAGAUCAUCAAUAUUCUUGGCUGUUGUAUAUGAGCCACUUGGCAUUUGGAAAGAAGGAAAUAAUUAUGAGAGGUAUAUAGAGGUCAUUGCUUUCAAACUUCUAAGGGAAAAAGACUGAUUCAUUAGAUUUUUCUAAGAAGAAAAUGGCCAUAGUCAAUACAUUUAGCCCACAUAUUUUAGGAGUUUGCUGUAUUUUCAGACCUGCCAGUUAGCCAAGGCAAAUGGCUUCUUUUUUUUUAAAGAAGAUUUUCUGUUGUUUAAAUUACAUAUUGUGCAGCCAGAGAUCAAUUUUUCAUGCAAUUAGGCCAGGGAAUUUGCCUUAUAUUUCUAAAUACCAAAGGUGCUGAUGUUAAGACAGAUCCAAUUAUUUGACAAUGGAAGAAAAUGCUAUGGCGAGAGAACAUUUGAAGCAGCAAAAUUUUCUUCAGCAUUCACAGUUGAAAUCUGACCCAAAUAUCCUACCUAAAAAAAAAAGUCCUAGCCAUCAAACUAGGACUAUGUUUGUCUGGGGCUUUUUAAAAUUUUGUGGAGGAGUGAGACAUAGAAAAAUAAAGAGCAAUCAGAUGCUUUUUGUGUGACUUAGUGUCCUGCACAGAAGCAAUCUUCCUGAUAGUUGAGUGUUUUCUGAGUAUAUGCUGGAAUGUUUCAAAGCCUUGUCUGAAUGUUAUAUUGGCAACAAAUGAAACUUGACUGAGUGUGGAUGUUUCUUCCUUGUGAGGUCUCAGAUGACAUGGAAUUCCAGUUGCUCGUCUAUUUAGACUAUCAAAUCCUACCUGACUUGAAUUUCACUUCUUAGAAAACUUGAACUUUUGCAUUCACUAUAAUUGAUACAUAGUUUUCCCCAAAGCAAGAACUCUUUUCUCCAUCUGGCAAAACACGAAUAACUUAUUUUAUAGCUCAGAAGAUGCUGAGCCUCAAGUGUUUCCUAAUGUAGUUCUCCAGGGUUAGUAAGAAAUAAAAAGAAAACCUAUCUGUAUUAACUCAAGUAUAGUGAUAACAAGGAUUUCAAUUAGUAGCAAGUUUCACUAAGUUAACACGAUAUAAUGUAAUUGGUGGAAUGGAAUGGCAAGUAAUCAUGUUACAAUAAAGACAACAGGAUGGGGGUAGGCAGAGAACUCAGGCAGUGUCAGGUCCCUGGUGGCAGAUUCAUUAGUUUUGUGGCUCCUGCCUGCAAGGAUGCAUGCUAAUGGGGCAACACCUGAGGACAUUAAUUAUAGUUGGCAAUAUUUGAGCAGCUAAUAUUCUCAUUUAUAUUGUCAAAUAAUAGGAUUGACUGAACCAAUUAAUUUUUGGAGUUUUCACACAAGGUUAAAAGAGGAUAAUUUUGGAAAUUAUACAUUUUCCCCACACUGAGGUAUUUCAGUUCUAUGAAAGAGCCAUUUCAGUGUUCAGAUCCCUGAUGCACUGAUAAGUAUGUAAAUUUCUCCUCAAAUAUAAGUAAUCAGCUUAAAAAAGUUCUACGGAAGUAAGUUUGAAUAAUAUGUUCGAUGUAUAUGGAGGUUCCCAGGCUAGGGGUCCAAUUGGAGCCAUAGCUGCUGGCCUACACCACAGCCACAGCAAUGCCAGAUCUGAGCCACUUCUGUGACCCACACCACAGCUCAUGGCAAUGCUGGAUCCUUAACCCACUGAGCGAGGCCAGGGAUCAAACCUGCAACCUCAUGGUUCCUAGUUGGAUUUGUUUCUUCUACACCACAACAGGAACUCCAAUUCUGUCACCUUUUAGAUUUACUGUAUUAACCUAAACAUAUAUUCUAAAUAAACCAAUAUUGAAUAUUUCUCUCAUUAGCUAUGUUUUCCCUCUAUUUGUCUGGACCAGAGGAAAGUAAAGUGUUGGGAAGUAUGUUGGUAGAAUUUUUUAACAUGUUCUCUCAAGAGUAGAUUGGUUCAGUGACCCCUGUUCACAGGCCUGACUGUGUGAAGCCAGGGAACCCAAAAAAUUGCAGGUAGAAGAAGUAGGUAGGCAUAGUUUAUAACGACUCAAGUCUCUUAAAAUUUUUACUUCAACAGUAUGAAAAUAGGCAUUUCUAAAACUAUUCUGUGAGAGUUAAAAGCAUUAUUCUUGGAAUUUUGUUAUCCCAAAGUCCAAAAAGGAUAUUUCUCCAAUGGUGUGAACUCUUUAUGUCUGCUUUGAUUUUAUACUAUAACUAAAUUGGAUUUAGCUCUAGUUUUUAAAAUUUGGAUAUUAAAACACAAGAUGUUUUUUAAAAAAUCAUCAUCAUGUGUUGAGAUCUUUGGCCAAAUAAAAAUUAUUCUUUAACAUGUAAGAAGAUAUAGUGAGUAGAUUAGGACAGUUGAAAAUACAAUUGAAAUCUGUAAGAUUCCAAAAUAUAGUAAAUAUUUAUUUAAUAAAUCAAAAUAUAACUAGGAUUUAAGACUUGAUACAUGAAAAACUAGUUUUGAGCUAAGGGAUAAGGAUUCACAUGAGUUUCCCAGACAUUGUGGAUGUAAACUACCAUAAAAGUGAUAGAUACAAUAUAUAAUACAUCAUAGAAGAGUUAAAAUAAGUGGAGAUCAAUAAAGAUGAUUAUCGAUGUAAAUUAAAAUGUCUGAUUUUCAACAUUAAACACUUAGUUUCUUCAUAAAAAAAGAUCAUGCUUUACCAAAUAAUCUUUGGUGCCAGCGCAGGUGGGAUAUUCCUCUACCCCAGAGGUAUUGCUUCAGCUUCUCUAAAAGGUAUUCCAAGGAAGGUGAAAUAAAGCACAGGGCGCUUAUUGAGUAAUCAGUGUGUCUGCCUCUUGAUAGAAAAUAGAAGUUACUGUCCACCAAGAGUCUCACAGUAUUUUAUCAUUCAGGUAUCUGAUACCCACCGUUAAUUCUGACAAUCAACAGAAGUGUCAGGAAAUAAUCUUCUUUCCAUAUUUGUCAGAAAUAGAAUCUAGGCAGUGUCCUUGAUGAUGCUAAUAUUUCAAUGGAAUGUUCUAUAUACUUAUCAGCUAGUUAGUUCAGAGUUCUUUAACUGGGUAUGUUCUAUUGGCCUAAGAGCUACCACAGAUAAUGUGUGUUUCCUGAGAGGCAAUAAAGCAUUGAGUGAUGGAGAGCAGUUUGUGUUGAUGGUGAUGGAGCUAGCAAAUACAGAAAGUAAUACAAGAUGAGGAAGGAAUAAAAGAAGAAAAUGCUCUUGCAUAUUCCAUUUGAGAUGUCUAUAAAUGAGAUGUCUAUAAAUGGAGAUAGUGGCAUUAUCCAGCAAACCAUGUCAGAGAACAAAGAGAAAAAAGAAAAGAAAUUCUCAUUUACUCUGAUUUUUAGAAUAUAAACACCCCGUGGGUAGGGGGGUUGUCUUUUUUCCAAUUUAAUAUAAUUUAUCACAUAAAACAGGGGUAAGCACUUAAUGAAUGUCAUUUUAAUUAGAAUUUAAUUUGACCGAGGAUGCUCAUAUUUCAAUUCCCAAGAUAAAAAUAGUUGGCCAUAAAAAUAUGCUUAUGGGGCAAUUUUUCAUUUAUGGGUGGAAAUGCAUAGGAAAUCAGCUCAUACAUGCUCAUUUUUUAUUAAUCAUAAAGAUCAAAAUGUUAAACAAUAGCGAACAAAGCUUUGGGGGGUGUUUUAUCAUCUUUGGAAUAAGUCCAAAUUGGUAUGAGGGGAUCCUAGGAGCUAACCAUCCAUCUAUCCAUCCACCUCAACAGACUUUAUUUUUUAGAGCCCUUUGAAGUUCAUAGCAAAAUUGAGUGUAAAGCACAGAAACUCCCAUAAAAUAUAUUUUAAAUGUCUUACUCUCAUUUUAAAAAAUCAAGUGCCACUGAUUGUCGUUUGUAGGCGGGAGAUGGUAGUGACAGGAAGGCAUCAGGAAAAAGACAUUGAUAACUGCUGGGAGAUGUCUAUGAGUGUGCUAGGGGACGGGUGCUUCUAUUCUAAUUUGAUAGAGAAAUAAAAGAGUGCACAUUCCCAAAGGCCUUCCAACAGGCAUGAACCUGGAGUUAUGGGGUCACAUUGAGGAGGAGGAGGAGUGAGGUUGGGAUGGGGAGCAAGAAACUGCCUGAAGACACUCAGGUUUUCCACUGUCCUGUGAUUCACACACCAUGAUCCAAUGGAUGUCUUCCACAAGGUUGAACCUCAGGGAAGAACUGAAGCCAAAGCUACAGAGAGUGGGUGUGAGAGAGAGUCCAUGCACAAGGGAGAAAGAAUGGAGACUGGGGGCUAUGGUGCCCACGGGAGCCUGGGAUGCCAUGUGAGUGAGCCUGAGCCAGCUGGGAGGCUGGCUGCAACUGCAUUUUAUGGUGCCCUCCCUAAAAUGCCAAGAAGGACUCUAUUCUGGAGAAUAAAAGCCAGGUCACAGGGACAGAGAAGGUGAGUCAGCAGCAAACUUGGAGCUCAAAGAAGGUCCUGUCCCUCCCCUGCUCACAAACUUCCCAUUGUUCCCCAGUGUCUUCAGAGAGAAAUUGGAUUCCUUCACAUGGUUGUUGACACCCUUGACGAUUUGGCCCCAACAGACCUUCCAGGAUCUAUAUCCUACUCCCUACUCAAGCUGAUUCCUCCCCCAGCUUACUUGCCCUGUAUUGCCUAACAUCCCCUAUAUUUUCUUCAUAUCUUUUUCCUGUAUCUGAAUGGUCCUUCCUCCAAUCUUCAACCAUCAUAUAAAUCUUCUCCGUGAACAAGCUCAAACACCACUUUGGGCCUUGAAACAAACUCUUCCAGCCAGAAAUACUUAAAAACAAAAACAAAAACAAAAAAACCCCCACUUUCUCUACAACUGCAGUAUCUGUACCUUUUGUAAAGCAUUCACCUGAGAAGGCCUCGUAUUUUAAUCAUUUGUACACGUCUUAGGUCCCUCUCCACCUAGAUUGCAAUUCUCUUGACAACUGGAAGCAAGUGCUCUUUCAUUUUGAAUCUUGGACCCAUGCUUCAAACAACAACUUAUCUAUGAAGAGCUUUGAAUACAUGCUUCUGAGACUAUUUUUUCAAUAUGUGAGAUGGAGAUCAUUAAAUUUGAAUGUGUUUCUUCUAAAAUGGUUCUCAAAUUCAGCACUUUUAAGAAUAACAAAAGAGCUAGUUGAUAUUCAGAAUCUACCAUUCUUCCUCCUAAAAUUCAGAUUUAGCAGAUCCAGGAGUAUGAAAAGAAGCAAACCCUUC